GUCCUAUGGAGAAUUAUACUUCCAAGGGGGCGCAAGACGUAAGAGGGGAGGACAGAGAAUGCAUUAUGUGAGUAGAGAUGAGAAAAGUACAUCGGCAUCUGAUGAAGAAGGCAUUUAUACUGUGUACAGUUUGCAAGAAACAGAAAUUCCGAAAGUAGCUCCACUGACCAUCACGUUGGCUAUUAACAAAUCAAAUGUAUCGUUUGAAGUGGAUACUGGCUGUAGUGUGACCAUAAUGAACAGCUCCAAUUUUGUUAAAUUGUGGAAAAAAGAUGACAUUCCUGAAUUAAAGACAUGUUCUUUGAAUUUAAAAACCUAUACGGGCCAAGUUUUAACUGUGUUGGGCUCUACACAAGUUGAAGUUGCAUACAACAGCACAAUGAAAACGUUACCAGUCAUAGUAGUACCCGGAAUGGGGCCCAAUUUAUUGGGCAGAGGAUGGAUUAAAGAAUUAGGCAUAAAUUGGGAGGCACUACAUAGGAUUCAAGAGGUGGAAGAAUUAACUUUGCCUAAAGUCCUCAGUAAAUAUGCAGAGUUGUUUAAAGAUGAAUUGGGAAAGUUGAAGGGUCCACGGCGACGAUUUAUGUGGAUAAGGAAGCAGUCCACGGUUUUUAAAGCCAGAUCAGUCCCUUAUGCAAUGAAGGCAAAGGUAGAAGCAGAAAUAGAACGCCUAUUGAGAGAACACAUCAUAGAGCCCGUUAAACAUUCUGAAUGGGCUGCCCCUGUUGUACCCGUUUUAAAACCAGACAAUACCAUACGUCUAUGUGGUGACUACAAACUAACAGUGAACAGAGUUUCAAAGUUGGAACAGUAUCCCAUUCCUAGGAUAGAGGAUUUGUUUGCAACAUUGUCAGGUGGAAAAAAAUUCACAAAUUUGGAUAUGAGCCAUGCUUAUCACCAGAUUGCAUUAGAUGCAGAGUCCAGGAAAUAUGUUACUGUGAAUACCCAUAAAGGGUUAUUUACUUACCGUGUUUUACCUUUUGGAGUCUCUUCCAGCCCCGCUAUCUUCCAGCGGACCAUUGAAGGAGUACUGCAAGGCCUUCCCCAUGUAGCAGUUUUCCUUGAUGAUAUCCUAAUAACUGGUCGGAAUGACGAAGAACAUCUCCAGAUCCUUGGAAAGGUGUUGGACAGAUUGCAGGAAGCCGGACUGCGAUUGAAGCGAAGUAAAUGUACCUUCAUGGAAAAAGAGGUGCAGUUCUUUCCCAUAAGAUGCCUGAUGGAAGUGAAAGACCUAUUGGAUUUAUGUCACGAACAUUGAAUCAAGCGGAGCGGAAUUAUUCACAAUUGGACAAAGAAGGGUUGGCAGUAAUGUUCGGGUUGCAGCGUUUUCACAAGUAUUUGUAUGAAUCCAACGAUGGGCCGUGACCCUAAGGGCAUAUGAGUACAACAUCAUUUACAAGGCUGGCAAGGAUCAUGGCAAUGCGGAUGCUUUAAGUAGGCUACCAGUACCAAUGGAAUCUUCUACAGAGCAGGAAGAAAGAGUUCUAAUGCUGGAGAAUGCUGAUAUCACCUUGAUCACAGCCGAACAGGUGAGAGAAUGGACAAGGAAUGAUCCAGUAUUAUCCAGAGUGAGAGAAACAGUGCAUCAUGGAUGUUUGCAUGAAUUAAUAGGAACACAGUUUGAUCCAUUCACAACAAGAAAAGAUGAAUUAAGUGUACAGGAUGGCUGUGUGCUCUGGGGGGCUCGAGUAAUCAUUCCUACCAUAGGUAGACCAGAAGUUCUGAAACAACUGCAUCAGUGCCAUCCAGGAGUGUCUAGGAUGAAAGCUUUAGCCAGAAGUUAUGUGUGGUGGCCCAAGUUAGAUCAGGAUGUGGAAAGGCUGGUUAAAACUUGUCGUAUGUGCCAAGAGCAUAGGAAUGUUCCAGCUGUUGCUCCACUGCAUCCUUGGAAUUGGCCAGAAAAACCAUGGCAACGACUACAUGUGGAUUAUGCAGGACCAUUUAUGGGAAAAAUGUUCUUUGUUUUGAUUGAUGCUCAUUCAAAAUGGAUUGAUGUGUAUCCAGUAAAUUCUGCUACAACUGCUUCCACCAUUGAUUGUUUAUGAAAUAGCUUCAGUAAUCAUGGAUUACCUGAACUAAUUGUAUCAGACAAUGCUACAUGUUUCAUUAGUGCUGAAUUUAAAGACUUCCUGAAUAAAAAUGGAGUGGAGCA